UACGUAGGCAGCAAGCGUUGUUCGGAGUUACUGGGCGUAAAGAGUGCGUAGGUGGUGCCCUAAGUCUGUUGUGAAAUCUCCCGGCUUAACUGGGAGGGUGCGGUGGAAACUGGGGUGCUUGAGUGUGGGAGAGGUAAGCGGAAUUCCUGGUGUAGCGGUGAAAUGCGUAGAUAUCUGGAGGAACACCGGUGGCGAAGGCGGCAUCCUGGACCAACACUGACACUGAGGAGCGAAAGCCAGGGGAGCAAACGGG
rnacentral:rRNA from 1 species